UGCUACGCCUCUUCCGACAAGAUACAUAACUAACAUGUCUCGGUGCCACCAAACGUACACGCGGGAAACAAUAAACAAAGGUGACGAAAAAGACUCCGGAAACACAAAGAAAAUCAUUGUUCUUUCUUCGAUUCUUCUAGAGAGCACAAUCAUAACUGCUAGAGGUCAUAGUCUAAUUAUACCUACUACACACCGAACAAAGCUAAAUAAACAUCAUAAUUGUUACUUGAUCUGCAAAGUUUCUCUUUAUAUAAUGGAUUGUCAACGAUAAACCCACAGACUUCAUCUACUGCUGCUAUUAUCAAGACCACUUAAUAUUUGCACGUGCUGGCGCAGAUUGCGAGAAAGUUCGUCGUUCUAUUGAUUACAAAUAAUCAUUGCUUCUCAAGUCAAUUUCGAUCUACAUCGCAAAUGAGUAUUUUGGAACCACAAUAGAACUUCUUAAGUAAUAAAUUUUGCCAGAGAAUGAGACAAGUGUCAUCGAUGUGCGGUAUGCCUAAAAACAAGCAUAUCGCGGGGCUGAUGGUCAACCGGUUUCACGCUGACGCCGUCUAUAGCAGACGCUCGUACACACAGAUCAUCGCGCGGAUACAGUCUAUAGCCGACGCUGGUAUACACAAUUCGUCGCGCGGAAGCCGUCUAUAGCCGACGCUCGUACCGAAAGGGUUAACCACAGUUGAUAGGACCAGAGGUAAUCUUGUUAAUCUAAUCAUGCGCGUCACUAAUUAGAUAACGAGGCAUUUGGCUAUUCUUUUCUUUUUAAAGUAGGAGGGGAAAAAUGCAUUACACAUAACAGCUAUGUUGUUGCUGCUCGUCUGGGACUCAUCACUGUGACAAACUCAGAAAAAAACCCACUCCUGUUCAUCAUUAUGCCUAAUUUGUAAGCAGCACGAUGAUGUUGUUGUCCAUUGUCCAACUCUGGUGCGUUCUUCUAGUUUUC